rnacentral:rRNA from 1 species
GACGAACGCUGGCGGCGUGCUUAACACAUGCAAGUCGAACGGAAAGGCCCCUUUGGGGGUCCUCGAGUGGCGAACGGGUGAGUAACACGUGAGUAACCUGCCCUUGACUUCGGGAUAACUUCAGGAAACUGGGGCUAAUACCGGAUAGGAAUCCUUGCUGCAUGGUGGGGGUUGGAAAGCUUCGGCGGUUUUGGAUGGACUCGCGGCUUAUCAGCUUGUUGGUGGGGUAGUGGCUUACCAAGGCUUUGACGGGUAGCCGGCCUGAGAGGGCGACCGGCCACAUUGGGACUGAGAUACGGCCCAGACUCCUACGGGAGGCAGCAGUGGGGAAUAUUGCACAAUGGGCGGAAGUCUGAUGCAGCAACGCCGCGUGCGGGAUGACGGCCUUCGGGUUGCAAACCGCGUUCAGCAGGGGCGAAGCUUGUGGUGACGGUACCUGCAGAAGAAGCACCGGCUAACUACGUG